GUCGAGCGGACAGAUGGGAGCUUGCUCCCUGAUGUUAGCGGCGGACGGGUGAGUAACACGUGGGUAACCUGCCUGUAAGACUGGGAUAACUCCGGGAAACCGGGGCUAAUACCGGAUGGUUGUCUGAACCGCAUGGUUCAGACAUAAAAGGUGGCUUCGGCUACCACUUACAGAUGGACCCGCGGCGCAUUAGCUAGUUGGUGAGGUAACGGCUCACCAAGGCGACGAUGCGUAGCCGACCUGAGAGGGUGAUCGGCCACACUGGGACUGAGACACGGCCCAGACUCCUACGGGAGGCAGCAGUAGGGAAUCUUCCGCAAUGGACGAAAGUCUGACGGAGCAACGCCGCGUGAGUGAUGAAGGUUUUCGGAUCGUAAAGCUCUGUUGUUAGGGAAGAACAAGUGCCGUUCAAAUAGGGCGGCACCUUGACGGUACCUAACCAGAAAGCCACGGCUAACUACGUGCCAGCAGCCGCGGUAAUACGUAGGUGGCAAGCGUUGUCCGGAAUUAUUGGGCGUAAAGGGCUCGCAGGCGGUUUCUUAAGUCUGAUGUGAAAGCCCCCGGCUCAACCGGGGAGGGUCAUUGGAAACUGGGGAACUUGAGUGCAGAAGAGGAGAGUGGAAUUCCACGUGUAGCGGUGAAAUGCGUAGAGAUGUGGAGGAACACCAGUGGCGAAGGCGACUCUCUGGUCUGUAACUGACGCUGAGGAGCGAAAGCGUGGGGAGCGAACAGGAUUAGAUACCCUGGUAGUCCACGCCGUAAACGAUGAGUGCUAAGUGUUAGGGGGUUUCCGCCCCUUA
rnacentral:rRNA from 1 species